rnacentral:rRNA from 1 species
CCCCUAUUGCCAGUUGCUAACAGGAGAGCUGAGCACUCUGGCGAGACUGCCGCCGACAAGGCGGAGGAAGGUGGGGAUGACGUCAAGUCAUCAUGGCCUUUAUGCCCAGGGCUACACACGUGCUACAAUGGCCGGCACAGACGGCAGCUUAGUGGCGACACUUGGCAAAUCCUCUAAAGCCGGUCCCAGUUCGGAUUGCAGUCUGCAACUCGACUGCAUGAAGCCGGAAUCGCUAGUAAUCGCAGAUCAGCCAAGCUGCGGUGAAUACGUUCCCGGGCCUU